UAAUACCCUUGGGGGAUGACAGUACCUGAAGAAUAAGCACCGGCUAACUACGUGCCAGCAGCCGCGGUAAUACGUAGGGUGCAAGCGUUAAUCGGAAUUACUGGGCGUAAAGCGUGCGCAGGCGGUUUGAAAAGUCAGCUGUGAAAGCCCCGGGCUCAACCUGGGAACUGCGGUUGAAACUCUCAAGCUAGAGUGCGUCAGAGGGGGGUGGAAUUCCACGUGUAGCAGUGAAAUGCGUAGAGAUGUGGAGGAACACCAAUGGCGAAGGCAGCCCCCUGGGAUGACACUGACGCUCAUGCACGAAAGCGUGGGGAGCAAACAGGAUUAGAUACCCUGGUAGUCCACGCCCUAAACGAUGUCGACUAGCCGUUGGAGAUUUCGGUUUCUGGUGGCGCAGCUAACGCGUGAAGUCGACCGCCUGG
rnacentral:rRNA from 1 species